rnacentral:rRNA from 1 species
GACGAACGCUGGCGGCGUGCUUAACACAUGCAAGUCGAACGGAAAGGCCCUGCUUUUGUGGGGUGUUCGAGUGGCGAACGGGUGAGUAACACGUGAGUAACCUGCCCUUGACUUUGGGAUAACUUCAGGAAACUGGGGCUAAAACCGGAUAGGAGCUCCUGCUGCAUGGUGGGGGUUGGAAAGUUUCGGCGGUUGGGGAUGGACUCGCGGCUUAUCAGCUUGUUGGUGGGGUAGUGGCUUACCAAGGCUUUGACGGGUAGCCGGCCUGAGAGGGUGACCGGCCACAUUGGGACUGAGAUACGGCCCAGACUCCUACGGGAGGCAGCAGUGGGGAAUAUUGCACAAUGGGCGGAAGCCUGAUGCAGCAACGCCGCGUGCGGGAUGACGGCCUUCGGGUUGUAAACCGCUUUCGCCUGUGACGAAGCGUGAGUGACGGUAAUGGGUAAAGAAGCACCGGCUAACUACGUG